rnacentral:rRNA from 1 species
UACAGAGGGUGCAAGCGUUAAUCGGAAUUACUGGGCGUAAAGCGUGCGUAGACGGUUAUGUAAGUCGGGUGUGAAAGCCCCCGGCUCAACUGGGGAGGGUCAUUCGAUACUGUUCGACUCGAAGGCAGGAGAGGGAAGUGGAAUUCCCGGUGUAGUGGUGAAAUGCGUAGAUAUCGGGAGGAACACCAGUGGCGAAGGCGACUUCCUGGCCUGUUCUUGACGCUGAGGCGCGAAAGCUAGGGGAGCAAACGGG